rnacentral:lncRNA from 1 species
ACACCCAUCCACCCAUCUCUUCUGCCACCCCAGAGCUUGUUUGUAGUCCUCCUGGUUGGUUGACCAGCUCUGGACCGGCCAUGCUCUAAGAAGCUGCCCCCUGCUAAGCCUUGCUUCCUGCUUUUUUUUUUUCCCUCCCUCUUUUUUAAAUGCCUACAGACAGUGCACUGUGAAUGUCUGCAUGCUGUUUGCUUUUCAUUCUCAAUGAGGGCCAGUGGUUACUUGGGAAGUUCCCAGAAGGGAGACUAGCUGAGCCUGCCUGGGACGGGACAGUUUUUGCUUUGGGUAAGUAAGAGGUAGAGCUGCUCCAUAGAGGAGCCUACCUAUCUGUGGUGGGUGCUGGCUGCUAAUGGAUGCUGGUCUCCUUCCAGUACAGCCUGGUGGGCAUUGGUACCCCUCUUUCUCUCCCUUUUACCCCCUUCAACUUCACUUUCAUUGGAAAUGCUCCUACUUUUAGUAUCAGUCAAAAGUUGCCACGAGGCACCAGUUUCUUAGCUCCUGGUGUGGCCUCUGCCCUCUGUCCCGAUGGCUCAGUCAUUAGGACUACUGUUGACAACAGAGAUGCUGAUGGGACCUCCUUCCUACUGACUGCAUUUCUUGGGGCAAAGGGCAGAAGAGAAGGCUUCUGAGGAGGAGGAGGCUGAGGGAGAGAGAGGGGGAGAAUCCAAAAAGCAGAACAAAGGCUGGCCACAACAAACUCAGUCAGACUUAGAUGAGGAGAGCAGGGGAAAGCGGGGCUGGGAUCAGAGCAGAGAUUCCAGGCUGAGUUGGAGCAGUGAGCUCUGUGUGGGUGUGCACGCGUGCGCGCGCGCGCGCCCGUGUGCAUGUGUGUGCAUGCACGUGCGUGUGUGCAUGUACGUGUGUGCUUGUGUACGUGCGCGUGCAUGUAUGUGCAUACAUGUAUGUGCACAUGUGCAUGCAUGUACGUGUGUGCUUGUGUGUGUGCGUGUGUAGCUGAGAGUCUGAAUGAAAUAGGACUGGGAGGGAGGGAAAGCCCAAGUCACUCCCUGCAAUGAUCUUCCUUGGGAACUUGAAUGGGAAGUUGCAUCAGUUACUGUCCUAGUUGCUGUGGCACAAUGCUUCCUUGGCCAGAGAGCAGCUGAAGGAAGUCCUGCACUAUGGCGGAGAAGCCACAGUGCAGGAGCUUGAGGUCACAUGGAAUCUGCCGUCAGGAAGCACUGAGCCGCAUGCUGGCACUAAUUUACCUCCAGCCCGGGAUGGAGAGACCAUUCACUGUUAGGCGGUGUCUGCCUUUCUCCUUUCCUUGUUGUUUUUGUUGUUUUGUUUUGAGACAGGGCUUCUCUGGGUAGCCCUGGCCGUCCUGAAACUAGCUCUGUAAUGCUUGGCCUGGAAUUCACAGAGAUCCGCCUGCCUCUAGCUCCAAAGUGCUGGGACCAAAGAUGUGUAUCACCAUCACCUGAAGGUCUUCCUUUCUCUAUUAAGCAAUUUACAUAAUCUCUCGUGGACAUGCCCAGAGGUUUGCCUCCAUGGCAAUUGUGAAUCUCAUCAAGUUGACAUCCAAGAGUAAUUGUCACAGAAGUAAAGAGUCACACUUGGGUCUGGGACUAGGCCCCGGCUCCUACCUGGCAGCAUCCUUUUACCCAGCUGUCCCUUGCAAGUGACCCAGAGUCAUGAGUGCAGUUCUAGCACACAGGUAUCCCUGGCUAUGCCCAUUCUUUCCCAUGGCUGCAGUAGCUUUAGAAGCAGCUUGGGGAGGCAGUUGCCCUCUCUUUAGUGGCCUUCUGCAGGUAAAGAACAGGUAGGAGGAGCCCCUGUUGUCUGCAGAGAGCCAAGUGGAAUGAGAUCUACUGCUCACUGGCAGCAGGCAGGCUUGGUACUUGGUAUGGAUCCUACAAAGAACGACUGAAGAUGGUGGCCUUGGAGCCCCUGUAGCUGAUGUUCAAUUACUUGUUACACACUGGGAAACUGAGACAGGGUGUUAGGAUAAUGGUGGUAACGUUUCUAUGAGUGGCACACACCAAGAACAUGGCAUUUUGACACCCCUACCCCCACAUGGGACAUCCAACAGGAAACCAAACCCCAGGUGGCCAAGUCCCUGCCCCAGUGCUGACUGGCUCCAGGGUUGACCAGAGCCAGCCUAACCUGGUUCAGUUUCAGGUGUAGCCUAAGGACUGGUGGUUCCUCUUAGAACGUCUUAGGAAAGAUGGUUUAUUUAUUAGCUGAUUUCUUAUCUUUCAAGCAAAUAAACUUGAGUGUGCAAAAAAGAUUGUCCUGUCUAGUUUUGUGUCAGCUUGACACAAGCUAGAGUCAUCAGUGAGGAAGGAGACUCAAUUAAGAAAAUGCCUUCAUAAAAUCAGGCUUCAGGCAAGCAUACAGGACGUUUUCUUAGGGAUGGAUGAAGGCAGAGGCAGCCCAUUGUGAUUGGAAUCAUUUCUGGGCUGGAGGUCCUGGGUUUGAUAAGAAAGCAGGCUGAACAAUAUGGUGAGAAUUCUGGAAUUUUUGUUUCUUAAAG